rnacentral:lncRNA from 1 species
GGGACAUUUGGUUCGCAGCGUAUAUUAUGCAAAAAAAAAUUUUAGUUUAAAAUAUUUGGAUCAUUAUUAAUUAAUUUAAGUUGGAUAGUUAUAAAAAGUGUUAGUAAAAUUUUGAAAUCAUUGAAAAUUUUUAGGUAGUAGUAAAAUUCACUAAAAGAAAUUUAUUAUCAAGACGUUUUUCCUCCAACGUCUCUCUAAUAUAACAAAUACCGGGCUUUAAAAAAUAUCGUUAUAUAAACCGUUUAUUAUAUCAAAACUAUUUCAUUAAAAAAUAAAUUUUACUUUUUUUUUUUUCCGACGCUUUACGUCCGAACUUUU